CCUACGGGAGGCAGCAGUGGGGAAUAUUGCACAAUGGGGGAAACCCUGAUGCAGCGACGCCGCGUGAGGGAAGAAGUAUUUCGGUACGUAAAGCUCUAUCAGCAGGGAAGAAAAUGACGGUACCUGACUAAGAAGCCCCGGCUAACUACGUGCCAGCAGCCGCGGUAAUACGUAGGGGGCAAGCGUUAUCCGGAUUUACUGGGUGUAAAGGGAGCGUAGACGGCAGCGCAAGUCUGGAGUGAAAUCCCAUGGCUUAACCAUGGAACUGCUUUGGAAACUGUGCAGCUAGAGUGCAGGAGAGGUAAGCGGAAUUCCUGGUGUAGCGGUGAAAUGCGUAGAUAUUAGGAGGAACACCAGUGGCGAAGGCGGCUUACUGGACUGUAACUGACGUUGAGGCUCGAAAGCGUGGGGAGCAAACAGGAUUAGAUACCCGAGUAGUC
rnacentral:rRNA from 1 species